rnacentral:rRNA from 1 species
ACUCAAAUGAAUUGACGGGGACCCACACAAGCGGUGGAACAUGGGGUUUAAUUCGAUGGUAAACGAAGAACCUCACCCAGACUUGACAUCCAGGGAAUCUGGCCGAAAAGCCGGAGUGCCGCAAGGAACCCUGAGACAGGCGAUGCACGGUCGUCGUCAGCUCGUGCCUUGAGGUGUACUGUUAAGUCAGCGAACGAGCGCAACCCUCAUCCUAUGUUGUUCUUUCAUGGGAGACUGCCGCCUCCAAGGCGGAGGAAGGUGGGGAUGACGUCAGAUCAGCGUGUCCUUUAUGUCUGGGGCAACACCCAUGUUACAAUGGCCGAUACAGAGGGCAGCAAAACCGCAAGGUGAAGCCAAUCCCAUCAAAAUCGGUCUCAGUUCGGAUUGCCGGCUGCAACUCGCCGGCAUGAAGUUGGAAUCGCUAGUAACCGUAGGUCAGCGAUACUACGGUGAAUCAGUUCCUGGGUCUUGCACACACCGCCCGU